rnacentral:rRNA from 1 species
UACGUAGGUGGCAAGCGUUGUCCGGAUUUACUGGGCGUAAAGAGCGCGCAGGCGGUCGUUCAAGUCGCGUGUGAAAGCCCCCGGCUCAACUGGGGAGGGUCAUUCGAUACUGAUCGACUCGAAGGCAGGAGAGGGAAGUGGAAUUCCCGGUGUAGUGGUGAAAUGCGUAGAUAUCGGGAGGAACACCAGUGGCGAAGGCGACUUCCUGGCCUGUUCUUGACGCUGAGGCGCGAAAGCUAGGGGAGCAAACGGGG